GCUCACGUCCAUACCACCCUGUCUGCGCCCGAUGUUGUCUGAUCUCUGAAGCUAAACAGGGUCAGGCCUGGUUAGUACUUGGAUGGGAGACCGCCUGGGAGUAGCAGGUGCUGUAAGCU
rnacentral:rRNA from 1 species